UCUGCAUGUCUAAGUAUAAGCAAUUAUACAGCGAAACUGCGAAUGGCUCAUUAUAUAAGUUAUCGUUUAUUUGAUAGUACCUUACUACUUGGAUAACCGUGGUAAUUCUAGAGCUAAUACAUGCUGAAAAUCCUGACUUCGGAAGGGAUGUAUUUAUUAGAUUAAAAACCAAUGCCCUCUGGGCUCCUUGGUGAUUCAUAAUAACUUUUCGAAUCGCACGGCCUUGCGCCGGCGAUGGUUCAUUCAAAUUUCUUCCCUAUCAACUUUCGAUGUUUGGGUAUUGGCCAAACAUGGUCGCAACGGGUAACGGAGGGUUAGGGCUCGACCCCGGAGAAGGAGCCUGAGAAACGGCUACUACAUCCAAGGAAGGCAGCAGGCGCGCAAAUUACCCAAUCCCGAUUCGGGGAGGUAGUGACAAUAAAUACUGAUACAGGGCUCUUUUGGGUCUUGUAAUUGGAAUGAGUACAAUUUAAAUCUCUUAACGAGGAACAAUUGGAGGGCAAGUCUGGUGCCAGCAGCCGCGGUAAUUCCAGCUCCAAUAGCGUAUAUUAAAGUUGUUGUGGUUAAAAAGCUCGUAGUUGAACCUUGGGCCUGGCUGGCCGGUCCGCCUCACCGCGUGUACUGGUCCGGCCGGGCCUUUCCCUCUGUGGAACCUCAUGCCCUUCACUGGGUGUGGCGGGGAAACAGGACUUUUACUUUGAAAAAAUUAGAGUGCUCCAGGCAGGCCUAUGCUCGAAUACAUUAGCAUGGAAUAAUAAAAUAGGACGUGUGGUUCUAUUUUGUUGGUUUCUAGGACCGCCGUAAUGAUUAAUAGGGACAGUCGGGGGCAUCAGUAUUCAAUUGUCAGAGGUGAAAUUCUUAGAUUUAUUGAAGACUAACUACUGCGAAAGCAUUUGCCAAGGAUGUUUUCAUUAAUCAGGAACGAAAGUUAGGGGAUCGAAGACGAUCAGAUACCGUCGUAGUCUUAACCAUAAACUAUGCCGACUAGGGAUCGGACGAUGUUAUUUUUUGACGCGUUCGGCACCUUACGAGAAAUCAAAGUGCUUGGGCUCCAGGGGGAGUAUGGUCGCAAGGCUGAAACUUAAAGGAAAUUGACGGAAGG
rnacentral:rRNA from 1 species